AUGGCUGCGGGUUCCUCCGAGGGCCCCCCGCCGAAGGUGGCCUCUGAAGGUCUAGCGGUAGGGCCGGCCGGCGUCCUGCCUUGCCUCGAGCUGCCGAGCUACGCUGCUGCCUGUGCGCUGGUGAGCAGCCGCUACUCGUGCGUGCCUUGUGGCGGGGCCGCACCGCAGGCACAUCGCCCUGUCGCCCCGCUACCUCAACAGGAAACGCACCGGCAUCCGGGAGCAGCUGGACGCCGAGCUCCUUCGCUACUCCGAGAGCCUUUUAGGUGUCCCUAUCGCAUAUGACAAUAUCAGAGUUGUGGGUGAACUGGGAGACAUUUAUGAUGAUCAAGGACACAUUCAUCUUAACACUGAAGCAGAUUUUGUUGUUUUCUGCCCUGAACCAGGGCAAAAGUUUAUGGGUAUAGUGAAUAAAGUAUCUUCCAGCCACAUUGGCUGUCUUGUACAUGGAUGCUUUAACGCCUCCAUUCCUAAGCCUGAGCAGAUGUCUGCUGAGCAGUGGCACACCGUGGAGAUAAACGUGGGUGAUGAACUGGAGUUUGAAGUAUUUCGUUUAGACUCAGAUGCUGCUGGAGUAUUUUGCAUUCAUGGAAAACUAAAUAUCACUAGCUUACAACCCAAGGGCUUUAAAAUUUCUGAAGGAGCAGAAACUGUCACAGAGGGAGCUGUUGAAAAACUUCCAAAGAAGAAAAAGAAAAAGAAGAAAGCUCCAGAAACAGAUGAGGUGGAUAUUAGUGCCACAGAGGUGCGCGGGUCUCUGCGCCGCGCCCACCCGGCAGCCUCUCCAGCUGCUCUGGGCAAAGCCUCCCCAGGCUGCCCCUCGAAUCCGAGGCCCGCGCGUCCUUCCUGCGUACUCAGGGCCUUGGAAGCAGCGCAGGACUUGACCCACAGUAGCGACCAAGGCGGCUCGGCGCCCUGA